GACACGUCACCGUUUGUUACUAACGGCGUUCGUUGAGCCGCUGCGCGCGCCCGCGGAGGAAGCGACGUCGCCUCGCCUCGCCUCCCAUCGGCUCGCGACGCAGUGCACGGGAGCACGUACAGGACGCGUGAACCUCGUUGCCUUUCGGUUUUCCGUGGGGCUCACACGGCAGGGUUGAGAGAGAGAGUGGGAGAUCCAAUCUGCUUGCUGCCUCCAUCUGCCGGCCGUGGGGCACAUCUGCCAGUUGCAGCCGCGUGUGUGAUCUGGUGGUGCUACGGCCACACGAGCUGGUGCACACGGCCGGGGACCCCAGGUGACAUUGUGAGAGCUCAGAGCAUAUACGUUAACGACCUUUGAUGGGGCGUAGAAUUCUGGACAGAGAAUAUGUGAGUAUAUCGUCAUCAAUCAUUUUUCGAUUUGUGUGCAUCUAACUGUCCCAGCGAUGUGUUUCAAUCUGCACCAGAGCUUGUGCAGUUUGCAGAGUUGACAGGGACAAGUGAUUAGGGCACAAGAAGACCAAGUUACAGAAGCUCAGAACACUAGCCCACGACUUUUGAACACCAGGUGAUUUUUAUUUAUUUCUGAAGGUGAAUGCCACUCUAAUUUAAAGUUGCACUGAUCCCGCUCAGCUUGUGCUGUGAAGUAAGCAACUGAAGAAGCAUUAAUGGGCAGGAGGAGACGACGACAAACCUGAGCUAGG